rnacentral:rRNA from 1 species
UACUAGGGGGGCAAGCGUUGUUCGGAAUUAUUGGGCGUAAAGGGAGCGUAGGCGGUUUGGUAAGUCUCGUGUGAAAUCUACAGGCUCAACUUGUAGUCUGCACGAGAAACUGCCGGGCUUGAGUGUGGGAGAGGUGAGUGGAAUUCCUGGUGUAGCGGUGAAAUGCGUAGAUAUCAGGAGGAACACCUGUGGCGAAAGCGGCUCACUGGACCAUAACUGACGCUGAUGCACGAAAGCUAGGGGAGCAAACAGG